UGCUCCGAAAACCUAAGGAUUCCUCUGGAAGGUUCGUCCACGGAGGGUGAGUCAGGACCUAAGGCGAGGCUGAAAAGCGUAGUCGAUGGAUGACAGGUUAAUAUUCCUGUACUAUUUAUUAUUGAUAACGAGGGACGGAGAAGGCUAAAUCAGCCGGAUGUUGGUUACCGGUUUAAACUUUUAAUGUGAUGAAGAAUGGCGAAAACAUUCUGAGCAAAGAAGUGAAUACAAAGUACUAAGGUGCUAAAGUGAUUGAUGUCAUACUUCCUAGAAAAGCUCGACAUAUCUCAAGUAAUAAAUACCUGUACCCGAAACCGACACAGGUAGGUAGGUAGAGCAUACCAAGGAGCGCGAGAUAACUCUCUCUAAGGAACUCGGCAAAAUGGCCCCGUAACUUCGGAAGAAGGGGUACCCUUGUAGGGUUGCAAUAACCAGACCCAAGCGACUGUUUAUCAAAAACACAGGUCUCCGCUAAGUCGUAAGACAAUGUAUGGGGGCUGACGCCUGCCCAGUGCCGGAAGGUUAAAGAAGUUGGUUAGUAUUAAUACAAAGCUAACGACUGAAGCCCCGGUGAACGGCGGCCGUAACUAUAACGGUCCUAAGGUAGCGAAAUUCCUUGUCGGGUAAGUUCCGACCCGCACGAAAGGCGUAACGAUUUGGGUACUGUCUCAGAGAGAGACUCGGCGAAAUAGACUUGUCUGUGAAGAUGCGGACUACCUGCACCUGGACAGAAAGACCCUAUGAAGCUUUACUGCAACUUGAAAUUGGAUUUGGGCUUUUCUUGCGCAGCAUAGGUGGGAGGCUAAGAAGAUAAGUUUGCGGAUCUAUCUGAGCUGUCAGUGAGAUACCACUCUAGAAAAGCUAGAAUUCUAACCUUGAAAGCCGUUAUCCGGCCAAGGAACAGUUUCAGGCGGGCAGUUUGACUGGGGCGGUCGCCUCCUAAAAAGUAACGGAGGCGUGCAAAGGUUUCCUCAGGCUGGUUGGAAAUCAGUCGUAGAGUGUAAAGGCAUAAGGAAGCUUGACUGCAAGACCUACAAGUCGAGCAGAGACGAAAGUCGGCCUUAGUGAUCCGACAGUGCCGAGUGGAAGGGCUGUCGCUCAACGGAUAAAAGUUACUCUAAGGAUAACAGGCUGAUCUCCCCCAAGAGUUCACAUCGACGGGGAGGUUUGGCACCUCGAUGUCGGCUCAUCGCAUCCUGGGGCGGUAGUAUGUCCCAAGGGUUGGGCUGUUCGCCCAUGAAAGCGGUACGCGAGCUGGGUUCAGAACGUCGUGAGACAGUUCGGUCCAUAUCCGGUGCAGGCGUUAGAGUAUUGCAAGGAUCUCUCCUUAGUACGAGAGGACCGGGAGAGACGCACCGCUGGUGUACCAGUUAUUAUGCCAAUAGUAAACGCUGGGUAGCUAAGUGCGGAAAGGAUAACCGCUGAAAGCAUCUAAGUGGGAAGCCAACCUUAAGAUGAGUACUCUCACCGUUUAAAACGGUUAAGGUCACGGCAAGAUUAGCCGUUAAAUAGGCGUCAAGUAUAAGUACAGUAAUGUAUGCAGCUGAGACGUACUAACAGACCGAGGACUUGAUUUA
rnacentral:rRNA from 1 species